AGAGUUCGUAGGUGGUUAAAAAAGUGGGUGGUGAAAUCCCAGAGCUUAACUCUGGAACUGCCAUCAAAACUUUUUAGCUAGAGUAUGAUAGAGGAAAGCAGAAUUUCUAGUGUAGAGGUGAAAUUCGUAGAUAUUAGAAAGAAUACCAAUUGCGAAGGCAGCUUUCUGGAUCAUUACUGACACUGAGGAACGAAAGCAUGGGUAGCGAAGAGGAUUAGAUACCCUCGUAGUCCAUGCCGUAAACGAUGUGUGUUAGACGUUGGAAAUUUAUUUUCAGUGUCGCAGCGAAAGCAUUAAACACACCGCCUGGGGAGUACGACCGCAAGGUUAAAACUCAAAUGAAUUGACGGGGACCCGCACAAGUAGUGGAGCAUGUGGUUUAAUUCGAAGAUACGCGCAGAACCUUACCAACACUUGACAUGUUCGUCGCGACUCUAAGAGAUUAGAGUUUUCGGUUCGGCCGGACGAAACACAGGUGCUGCAUGGCUGUCGUCAGCUCGUGUCGUGAGAUGUUGGGUUAAGUCCCGCAACGAGCGCAACCCUCACUUUUAGUUGCCAUCAUUUAGUUGGGCACUCUGAAAGAACUGCCAGUGAUAAGCUGGAGGAAGGUGGGGAUGACGUCAAGUCCUCAUGGCCCUUACGUGUUGGGCUACACACGUGCUACAAUGGCAUUUACAAUAGGAAGCAAGAUGGCGACAUCAAGCAAAUCCUAAAAAGAUGCCUCAGUUCGGAUUGUACUCUGCAACUCGAGUACAUGAAGCUGGAAUUACUAGUAAUCGCGGAUCAGCGCGCCGCGGUGAAUACGUUCCCGGGUCUUGUACACACCGCCCGUCACACCAUGGGAGUUGGUUCUACCUUAAGGCAAGGUUUUAAACCCUUGACUACGGUAUAGUCAGCGACUGGGGUGAAGUCGUAACAAGGUAGCCGUAGGGGAACCUGCGGCUG
rnacentral:rRNA from 1 species